rnacentral:lncRNA from 1 species
CCCUUGAAGCACUGGACAGCAUGCAUCCUUGGCACUGCUGCCAAUUCCAAUGUGAAUGAGGCCACCCAACACAUCCACACAAGCUCCCAACUUGAGAGUGUCGAUGGGACACGUGUUCUUUGGUGGUGAUGGGGUUGGCACUGGUGUUGGUGGUGGUGGAGGAGGACAUGGUGUCUCAGUGGGUGGAGGAGGCUUAACUGGUACAACUGGGGUAGGUGUAGGUGUUGGUGGGCUUGGUGGUACAACAGGUGGUGAUGGUGGUGGCUUAACUGGUACAACUGGGGUAGGUGUUGGUGUUGGUGGGCUUGGUGGUACAACAGGUGGUGAUGGUGGUGGCUUAACUGGUACAACUGGGGGCUUGGGUACAUAGGGUGGUGGGGGUUGUACAACUGGGGGCUUGGGUACAUAUGGUGGUGGUGGUUGUACAACUGGGGGUUUGGGGAUGAAGGGUGGGUGCACAAUUGGGGGUUUAGGGAUAAAAGGUGGGUGCACGAUUGGGGGCUUGGGGAUGAAGGGUGGGUGCACAAUUGGGGGCUUGGGGAUGAAGGGUGGGUGCACAAUUGGGGGUUUAGGGAUGAAGGGUGGGUGCACAAUUGGGGGUUUAGGGAUGAAGGGUGGGUGCACAAUUGGGGGUUUAGGGAUGAAGGGUGGGUGCACAAUUGGGGGCUUGGGGAUGAAGGGUGGGUGCACAAUUGGGGGCUUGGGGUGGGGUGGUGGUUUGACAAUAGGAGGCUUGGGGAUGAAGGGAGGUCUCACAAUAGGUGGUUUGGGGACAGAAGGAGGUUUUGGUAUAUGGGGAGGAUAUACAAUGGGGGGUUUGGGGCCAUGAGGUGGCUUGGGUACAUGGGGUGGAUGAGGAUGAGGUGGCUUUGAUGGUGGCUUGGGAACAUAGGGAGGCUUUACAUGAGGGGGAUGGGGUGGUUUUGAUGGUGGUUUGGGAACAUAGGGAGGCUUUACAUGAGGAGGAAGAGGUGGUUUUGAUGGUGGUUUGGGAACAGAGGGAGGCUUUACAUGAGGGGGAUGAGGUGGGUGUUUAGGUGGUUUAGGGAUGAAGGGUGGCUUUACAUGAGGAGGCUGUUUGGGUGGCAAGUGUGGAGGGUAUGUUGGUGGUGGACAGUAGGAGUUAGCAAGAGAAGUGAGCAAACUACCCAAAUUCACAAUGAGGACUAAGAGCAAAGCCAGG